rnacentral:misc_RNA from 1 species
CUACUUUAUUUACAAAUUGAUAAGCCCUUUAAUUUUAACAAGUACUACUGGACUACUAGUAUUUUAUCAAAUUAAAUUAUCAAUACUUAUUUUUUAGCAAAGGAUUAAAGAGUGGAGACUCAAACUUGACUUUACCUGAUGAGUAAUAUACCUUCGGCCAAUAAAUCAAAUCACAUUAAACGACUUAGUAUAUUUACUCUUAAGCGGAGAAUCACAAAGUUUAAUUUAAUAUAAUUCAAAGAACAAAG